GGGGAUGUAGCUCAGUUGGUAGAGUGCUUGAUUUGCAUGCAUAAGGCACUGAGUUCGAUCCUCAACAUCACAU
rnacentral:tRNA from 1 species